UUCUACGGCCAUACCACCCUGAACGCGCCUGAUCUCGUCUGAUCUCGACGGCUCACAUUUGGUGGUGGUCUUGUCAUCUCCUACCUCUUUCUCGUAAAGCUGGCAGCUGAGGGAA
ensembl:rRNA 5S_rRNA 5S ribosomal RNA